GAUGAACGCUGGCGGCGUGCCUAAUACAUGCCAGUCGAGCGAACGGACGAGAAGCUUGCUUCUCUGAUGUUAGCGGCGGACGGGUGAGUAACACGUGGAUAACCUACCUAUAAGACUGGGAUAACUUCGGGAAACCGUAGCUAAUACCGGAUAAUAUUUUGAACCGCAUGGUUCAAAAGUGAAAGACGGUCUUGCUGUCACUUAUAGAUGGAUCCGCGCUGCAUUAGCUAGUUGGUAAGGUAACGGCUUACCAAGGCAACGAUGCAUAGCCGACCUGAGAGGGUGAUCGGCCACACUGGAGCUGAGACACGGUCCAGACUCCUACGGGAGGCAGCAGUAGGGAAUCUUCCGCAAUGGGCGAAAGCCUGACGGAGCAACGCCGCGUGAGUGAUGAAGGUCUUCGGAUCGUAAAACUCUGUUAUUAGGGAAGAACAUAUGUGUAAGUAACUGUGCACAUCUUGACGGUACCUAAUCAGAAAGCCACGGCUAACUACGUG
rnacentral:rRNA from 1 species